rnacentral:rRNA from 1 species
UACGUAGGGGGCAAGCGUUUGUCCGGAUUUAUUGGGCGUAAAGAGCGUGUAGGCGGCCUUACAGGUCAGCUGUGAAAACUCGAGGCUCAACCUCGAGACGUCGGUUGAAACCGUAUGGCUAGAGUCCGGAAGAGGAGAGUGGAAUUCCCGGUGUAGCGGUGAAAUGCGCAGAUAUCGGGAAGAACACCCGUGGCGAAGGCGGCUCUCUGGGACGGUACUGGACGCUGAGACGCGAAAGCGUGGGGAGCGAACAGG